AUCUAGCCCCGAUAGCAGCGGCAUCCUUUUUUCGGUGGCUGAGGCUCUCGAAGUCACCGGAAAAAGAUAGAGCGGAUAGCGGGAAUUGCU
rnacentral:sRNA from 1 species